UGUAAAGUUCAAGCUCCGAUUAUGAGGGCGAAACCGCGAAUGGCUCAUUAAAUCAGUCAUAAUCUACUUGAUUGUUUAAAGUUUAUAUGGAUAACUGUGGUAAUUCUAGAGCUAAUACAUGCACAAAGGGGACGACUCUCGCUGUCAAAGGCGGGAGAAGUUCUGCGUUUAUUAGACUAAGACCAAUGGUUGAUAGCAAUAUCAAUUCAUUUAAUUAAGGUGACUCUGAGUAAAUAAUGGGUGAAAGCCCAUGUUGCUGACCUGACAUCUCAAAAGGCUUUGCAAGAAGUCUGUCAGGCAAAUCAAUCGUGUGUCUGCUCUAUCAACUGUGGAUGGUAGGAUAAUUGCCUACCAUGGUGAUGACGGGUAACGGGGAGUUAGGGCUCGACUCCGGAGAACAAGCCUGAGAAACGGCUAGUAGGACUAAGGUCUGCAGCAGGCGCGAAACUUACACAAUGCUAGAUUACAAUUAGCGAUGUAGUGAAGAAAAAUAACGAUGUACUUCUAUUUAAACAUAGUAGUACAAUUGGAAUGAGACGACUAUAAAUGAGUUAGUCGAGUAACAAAUGGAGGGCAAGUCUGGUGCCAGCAGCCGCGGUAAUUCCAGCUCCAUUAGCAUACAUUAAAGUUGUUGCGGUUAAAAAGCUCGUAGUUGAAUUUUAGGCGGGCUCUAUUGGGCAGCAAUCGUUAAGGUUUGUUUGGUUCUUGAGUCAUCUUUCAUUAGUUGCAUCUCUCCCAUUUAAGCUGGUUGUUUUCGCCCUGAUAGGAACCCGCUGUUUCGUCACUUAAUCGAGUGCGAAGCGGGCUGGUACAAUGGUUUACUGAGACCUCACUUGUUGAGCUCAGUAUCCAUGUUUCAGCAUGUUUACCUUGAGAAAAUUAGAGUGCUCACAGCAGGCAGUUGGUGUGUAAAAGCUCCUUUAUGCUUGAAUAAUGUUGCAUGGAAUAAUAGAAUACGGCCUCGGUUCUAUUCUGUUGGUCUUAUAGAACAACAAAUAAGUUGGUUAAAGCGAUCAAAAGUCUCUUUGUGGGUGUGGCUUUAAUGGUGACAUCUUGUGCUUUUAUGCUUAGUUUUGACUUUUAGCCAAGUGGAUCCUCUCAUUUCUGUUGCCUGGGGCCUUAAAAUCUCAGAGCCUGGAUGAUGUCUUCUUGGUUGGUCAUGAGCUUAGUUUUGAGUCGAGCGUGUCUGCCUUUUAGUCAUUUAAAGCGCCUCUUAGAUGGCUAGCUUUCUAAUCAACUGAGGCAAUGGUUAAAAGAAAUAGUCGCGGCGGCAUCAGUACUGCAUCGUGAGAGGUGAAAUUCUUAGACCGAUGCAAGACUAACUGAAGCGAAAGCGUUUGCCGAGGAUAUUUUCAUUAAUCAAGAACGAAAGUUAGAGGUUCGAAGGCGAUCAGAUACCGCCCUAGUUCUAACCAUAAACGUUGCCAACUAGCAAUUGGGUUGCGAUUCCUUUAAUCGAAGCUUAAACCCUUCGAUCAUUAUGAUCCACCCAGCGGCUCUCGUAGGGAAACCAAAGUGUUUGGGUUCCGGGGGAAGUAUGAUUGCAAAGUUGAAACUUAAAGGAAUUGACGGAAGGGCACCACCAGGAGUGGAGCCUGCGGCUUAAUUUGACUCAACACGGGGAAACUUACUAGAUUAGAACUCUGGAAUGAUUGACAGAUUGAUAGCUCUUUCUUGAUUCAGAGGAUGGUGGUGCAUGGCCGUUCUUGAUUCGUAUUCCGAAACGUCUGCUUAAUUGCGAUAACGAGUGAGACCUCACCCAACUAACUAGUCGUUUGGUGCGCUGUGGAACGCAAAAGUCUGGAUGGGAUUUUUGUUUGUUGGUAAAUUGGCUUUCGGGUUAGUUUGUCAGCAGGCUGCCCGUUUUAGAUGUUCUCUGCUCGCCAGCGGACUUCUUAGAGGGAUAAACGGUGUUUUAGCCGUAAGAAACGAGGCAAUAACAGGUCUGUGAUGCCCUUAGAUACUCUAGGCCGCACGCGUGCUACAAUGGCGUGUGCAGAGAGCUUGUUCGAGGUUUGUCUAAAGAGAACUGGCUAUUUGGUUUAAGUUGGUAGCAAUAUUGGCUUGGAUCGGUGGCAAAGUGACUUUAGUUAGCAGGCCGAGAGAAACCGUAGUCGAAAGAUUACGGCAAUCAAAAAUACACGCCGUGAUUUGGGAUUGGGGAUUGCAAUUGUUGCCCAUGAACGAGGAAUUCCCAGUAAGCGCAAUUCAUCAUAUUGCGUUGAUUACGUCCCUGCCCUUUGUACACACCGCCCGUCGCUACUACCGAUUGGAAGUUUUAGUGAGGCAUUUGGACCUGCCGGCCAUUGGGAGAGGCAACUCUUCUGGGUUGGCGGGGAAGUCUGUCGAACUCAAAUUUCUAGAGGAAGUAAAAGUCGUAACAAGGUUUCCGU
rnacentral:rRNA from 1 species